GACGAACGCUGGCGGCGUGCCUAAUACAUGCAAGUAGAACGCUGAGGUUUGGUGUUUACACUAGACUGAUGAGUUGCGAACGGGUGAGUAACGCGUAGGUAACCUGCCUCAUAGCGGGGGAUAACUAUUGGAAACGAUAGCUAAUACCGCAUAAGAGUAAUUAACACAUGUUAGUUAUUUAAAAGGAGCAAUUGCUUCACUGUGAGAUGGACCUGCGUUGUAUUAGCUAGUUGGUGAGGUAAAGGCUCACCAAGGCGACGAUACAUAGCCGACCUGAGAGGGUGAUCGGCCACACUGGGACUGAGACACGGCCCAGACUCCUACGGGAGGCAGCAGUAGGGAAUCUUCGGCAAUGGGCGGAAGUCUGACCGAGCAACGCCGCGUGAGUGAAGAAGGUUUUCGGAUCGUAAAGCUCUGUUGUUAGAGAAGAACGUUGGUAGGAGUGGAAAAUCUACCAAGUGACGGUAACUAACCAGAAAGGGACGGCUAACUACGUGCCAGCAGCCGCGGUAAUACGUAGGUCCCGAGCGU
rnacentral:rRNA from 1 species